GCAUGAUGAUGAUGAUGAUAAUGAUAAUGAUGAUGAUGAUGAUGAUGAUCAUCAUCAUCAUCAUAAUCGUCAUCACUGUCAUCAUCAGGU
rnacentral:pre_miRNA from 1 species